AGAACCGAGACGGGUACAAGGGUCGAAUACAGGUGCGGAAGAAGGGUGGGAGCAAAGAGACGGAGCGAGGGGUGCGCAAGGAGUCGUGACUGACCACAUCCCUGUUGCCCAUCAAAGGCCGGUUGCGCCGAUGGUGGUUGUCUGCUUCGCAGGGUACUCCACAAGUCUUCACUACAUGCCAUGCCUGGGCUUUAACCAAAGUUUAUUUUUAAUAUUUUUUUAUUUCCAAACUGGUAACAAAUUGAUUGAGAAAUUAUUAUUGUAUUAUUGUUAUUAUAAGAAAACGAUAGUUUUAUGAUCAACUAGGGGACAUGUAACUCCCAUUGGAGACCUAUGGAUUGGCAUGAGAAUUCUAAAUACUCGUAACACGAAUUGUACGCGCUUUUAAAAUAUCGUAGCUUAAUUCUAUGCUAAUUAAUUACUGAUGUACUGAUAGGUAACACAAUUUUCAUUUCUCCUAUAUCGUAUAUUGUACAUGGAACCUGCGGAAAGGAGAGAAGAAUCGUUAAGUCGGGAUUAGUUAACACAGACCACCGCCACGGCCUCUAUCGAGCUGACUCUAACCCCGACACAGCCCAACCUGGGGGCGCCCUUAUGCCCAGACGUCGGCGGCGGCGUCGGGGAGACGAGCACGGGCGAAGGCGAUACCCCCACCAUGGCACCCUCUCGUCGAGGGGUCGUUGAUCCCCCAAGGACAACGACCUUGCGUCUGCGGCAGCGGCAACCGUUCGAACGGUUCUGAGUUCCCGGAUUCCUCGAUUACCAAUAUCUUUCACUCCUCGCUUCCCUCAUUCGCCCUCCUCGCCCCUCACGACGGCAGUCGCCGUUCCCCUGACUCCUCUUUCCACCUUUUCCGCCAUCUCUUUUCAUUCGCCUUUCCAUUUUCUCUUGGGAGUACGAUGGCCGAGUGCAUUUUUUUCUUCUACCGGGAACUAUCAAUGGAAGAGACACCAUGCUGACUGCGAUCAGCCGAGAGGACUACAGAAACCACUACGUGUUCCCUAGGCGGUUUCUCUUAAGCAUUAACCUUGUCAAUUUUGCAUAGUUCCACCGCUCAUAAAUUUCUGUUCGGAUUUAUUUAUGAAAAGGUUUGCUUUUCAAUCGGUUUUCGCAAAACUGUUAAUUUUUAUUAUAUUUAUGCUUAUACAAAAAAUGUUGAAAUGCAAUUUCUUAUAUUUGUCAUUUAAAUCUAUUAAAACUUUCGUUACUUAACAUUUGCGAACUCUUCUUUGUUUCUUCCGUUUAUCGUUAUGAAAACUGUAGUCUUUUGUUUAUUAUUUUAAGAUGAGAUCAAAAUAGUGAAUAAUGUACAUCGACCGCUUCUCUUUCCAACGUAAUCACGACUAAGAUAGCAGCGAACGGGCUUAUGAAUUUACGAAUGAACAAGUAGCUUUCAAAAUCGUAGAAGAGUAUGAAAAAUUCAUGCAAGCCGGCAUCGAUAUGCAUGGCUCGACCCCGACCCGCAUAGCCUUCCCUCCUCCCGCCUCCUCCCUCUAACGCGAUAGUCGCGUACACGCUUGUAAACCCCUUGUAAACUCAUCGAUCCCAAAGUGGCGCGCGGAAAACAUCUUCCUUUUCGAUACCUUUUCAAAUCGUUACAUUAAGUGCGCAAUAAACAGUUAUCAGUUAAACAGUAGGUAGAAUUAUGUAAUGCAUGUUUGAUGAUAUCAAAAAAUUUUUAAAGUGCAAUAAUGGACACACCUAUAAAUGUACCACAUUUCUACAAAAAGUAUAAUAAAAAUAUUAAUUAUAUUAAUUAUUAAAAUAUAAAA
rnacentral:lncRNA from 1 species